UAUCAACGCGGAGUACAUGUGGGUUACCUUAAAUGAAGGACACUCACAAUUUUUGUAGUGUGGGUUUAUCUUAUAGGAAGGACACCCAUAAUUUUGUAGUGUGGAUGUACUUUAUAGGAAGAACCCCCACAAAUUAUGUUGUGUGGGUUUAUCUUAUAGGAAGGACAUUCAUAAUUUUGUAGUGUGGGUGUACUUUAUGGGAAGGACCCCUCAAAUUUAGCUUUUCACUUGAACGUUUAUGAUAUGUGUACCAAAUUUUCAAAUUAUUGAACGGGCACCUGGAACCAGGAAAUUUUAAAUGGUUUAAACAUUGACGAAAUAUGCAAGUCAUUUGUAUGUAAUGAAACACAACAAAGGGAUUUUGGAGGAUUUUUGUAAUGUUUGCUCGGAAAAAAAAGAAAAACUGAUUGAAAAUAACUAAAA